rnacentral:lncRNA from 1 species
UACAUAACAUAAUUUGCCAUUUUUUCCAUUUUUUUCCAGACAGAAGUAACUUCUAAAACAUUGCUAGGGAAACGCUCUGACAUCUUCCGUAGAGGUGAAAAAGCACAGGUCUGACUCAGGUAGCUGCGAGUUCAAGUUCAGCCGCAGGCUCUUCCCCAAGGUGCUGGUCUUCGCAGGAACCCCUUGCAGGCAGCUGCAAAGAGCAGCACGGCGCGCACACACAGGGUCCGGCUGGCGUCUGGCCAGAGCAAGGGAACAGUAAGUGUGUCCUGGAGGCGCUCGCCAUGCACUCACACGCCAUCUGUGGAUUCGGAAGUGACCUCCCCCUCGGUUGAUGAGGGUUCUCUGCGUCUGGAGAACACAGGACGUCCACAGGAAAGUUCUCCCUCCUGCACUCCCGGCUGGCUCUGAAAAUUAUGAAGGCAGAGACGUCCGUGCCUGAUACUGUCCUGGCAGCCACGUGCCCUCAUACACUUGCCCAGACCCUGAAUGUGCUACACGGAGUGACCCCAAUUACACCGUGGGCCCCGGGUGACUGCGACAUCUCUCUUUUCCUUAAAAUAAAGGCUCUAAAAUUGUGUGAUUCCACCUCCCUGAGGCUAAGCGAAAGAGCCGCGUCUGCCCCUGUCCUUCCCGGGGGCUGGCAGGGAGUGGGUGCCCGGCGGUGACUCAGCCCUGCAGCCUCCCAGCCCUUCCCCGUAUGCGGGCAGGUGAUGCGGACGCCUCCGACCCUCGUGGGGUUUGUGGAGAGCGUUGAUCAGCGCUGCCGUCAGAACAGGACCUGUGCGAGGCCUCGCAGAUGCCGGGAGCCGGGCGGUGCUCUCGGUGCUUCUCAUCAAAUCCACUGGCUCUUCGAGAGGAAGCACAUGUCACAGCCCAGCUCAAACAAGAAGCAAGAAAAUCACUCUUCAUUUUGGAAUUGUAAAAUAAAGUAGAAAUUAUCCUCAGG